UCCCCCUUUCUUCUCUCUCUCUCUCUCCCUUUCUUUUCUCGUGAAACCCUAGAUGGACGCCAUGCUUUUCCUCGCCUCUCUCAUGCCAAAAAUGGCACUUUUUCAAGCGUAUGCUGACAUGCACAACAUUUGUAUGCUUUUUGUGGUGAAAUGUCAAAGAUUCACUUGGUUCCACAAUUUCUUUUGUUCAAAUGUGCCACCCAAAGCCUAAUUGGAGAAAAUUCUUUCAAGUGUCUUUAAGUCCAAAAAGAAGAAAGGGAAACUAAUAUAUUGAAGGCCGAGUCAUGGGUAAAAAAGACAUGAAGGCCCAACCAUGGGUGAAAAUGGUUGGGAUUUGGUACACCCCGUUUCACUUUACUCCGUUAUAUUUUCCUGUUUUUGCCUAUUUGUAUUCGGUACUUGUAAAACCCACAAACAUUAUUGGAACCAUUAUAUUGUGAA